GCCAGAGUCUCUUGGGUUCCCGUCCCAUGUCGUAAUCAAAUCACAGCCACAACCGGCGAGGCUUCAGUUAACAUUCCCAACUUCUUGGCCAAUACAACGAUAAUCAGCGCCUCACCCCACUCCACUCCAUGCCAGCCCAACAGUCAUGUUAUUGAACACGGGAGAGAAACCGAGCACCACUUUUCACUUGAAUUAGAAACGCCAAAGGUUUGGGAUUAUGCUCGUGACGGCUACGUCCAUCAUGUAUUAUGUCCAAAGCAGAUGCCAUGUGUUGAUAUGUAAUGGUGGUGCAGUAAUGGAUGAAGCUCUAUUGAACAUGAAAGUUAAGAUGUAAUCUAUGGAAAACCAUAGGAUGAUUUCAGAAUCACCAUGGGUUGAAAGAGCAGCUGGCUAUC